rnacentral:rRNA from 1 species
GAUGAACGCUGGCGGCGUGCCUAAUACAUGCAAGUCGAGCGAACAGACGAGGAGCUUGCUCCUCUGACGUUAGCGGCGGACGGGUGAGUAACACGUGGAUAACCUACCUAUAAGACUGGGAUAACUUCGGGAAACCGGAGCUAAUACCGGAUAAUAUAGUGAACCGCAUGGUUCAAUAGUGAAAGACGGUUUUGCUGUCACUUAUAGAUGGAUCCGCGCCGCAUUAGCUAGUUGGUAAGGUAACGGCUUACCAAGGCAACGAUGCGUAGCCGACCUGAGAGGGUGAUCGGCCACACUGGAACUGAGACAUGGUCCAGACUCCUACGGGAGGCAGCAGUAGGGAAUCUUCCGCAAUGGGCGAAAGCCUGACGGAGCAACGCCGCGUGAGUGAUGAAGGUCUUCGGAUCGUAAAACUCUGUUAUUAGGGAAGAACAAAUGUGUAAGUAACUAUGCACGUCUUGACGGUACCUAAUCAGAAAGCCACGGCUAACUACGUG